rnacentral:rRNA from 1 species
UACGGGGGGGGCAAGCGUUGUUCGGAAUUACUGGGCGUAAAGGGCUGGUAGGCGGCCAACUAAGUCGGAUGUGAAAUCCCCAGGCUUAACCUGGGAACUGCAUCCGAUACUGGUCGGCUUGAAUCCGGGAGAGGGAUGCAGAAUUCCAGGUGUAGCGGCGAAAUGCGUAGAUAUCUGGAGGAAUACCGGUGGCGAAGGCGGCAUCCUGGACCGGCAUUGACGCUGAACAGCGAAAGCUAGGGAGCAA